ACUGUUAGCAGCACAGGAUUGAGGAGUUAGAAGAGACCUUUAGAACAGCUGGUCAUUAUGCCGACCGGGUGCCUGCACUAAGUUCGGCAUCAAUAUGGUGACCUCUGGGAGUGGGGGGCCACCAAGUUGCCUAAGGAUGGCUGAACUGGCCCAGGUCAGAAACAGAGCAGGUCAGAACUCCUGCACCGACCAGUAGUGGGACUGUGCCCGGGCGGUAUAGCAAGAUCUUGGUUCUUAAAAGGAAAAAU
rnacentral:sRNA from 1 species